ACUAUGCUUAGCCCUAAACAUUGAUAGUAUUGUACACCCACUAUCCGCCCGGGAACUACGAGCAUUAGCUUGAAACCCAAAGGACUUGGCGGUGCUUUAUAUCCUU
rnacentral:rRNA from 2 species